AGAUACUCUGUGUGUGUGUGUGUGUGUGUGUGUGUGUGUGUGUUCUGUUGCAGCUUCACAGCUCAUUCAAGUGCUCCAGUCUGGCUUUUGAUUCUACAUCAACCUUCGAUAUCCUACUUCAUCUUUAAAACUUCACAGCUCAUUCAAGUGCUCCAGUCUGGUUUUUGAAUCUACAUCAUUCUUCGAUAUUCUACUUCAUCUUUAAAAGUUAUCAUAGUCAGCCGGAUCCGGUCCGUAUCCAGAUCAGAUGAUGGACCUGCACCCUGAAACGACCACAACGCAGCCCUGAAUGUCAGUGAAGACCACAACAAUUGAACAUCACGACUGGACUGACAUCAGCACAGAUCCUCAGCAAAGACCACGAGAAACAGACAAGUCCUCUGCACAGAUCCCUAUGGCCAGCAAUGAACGUGU